GACGAACGCUGGCGGCGUGCUUAACACAUGCAAGUCGAACGGAAAGGCCCUGCUUUUGUGGGGUGCUCGAGUGGCGAACGGGUGAGUAACACGUGAGUAACCUGCCCUUGACUUUGGGAUAACUUCAGGAAACUGGGGCUAAUACCGGAUAGGAGCUCCUGCUUCAUGGUGGGGGUUGGAAAGUUUCGGCGGUUGGGGAUGGACUCGCGGCUUAUCAGCUUGUUGGUGGGGUAGUGGCUUACCAAGGCUUUGACGGGUAGCCGGCCUGAGAGGGUGACCGGCCACAUUGGGACUGAGAUACGGCCCAGACUACUACGGGAGGCAGCAGUGGGGAAUAUUGCACAAUGGGCGGAAGCCUGAUGCAGCAACGCCGCGUGCGGGAUGACGGCCUUCGGGUUGUAAACCGAUUUCGCCUGUGACGAAGCGUGAGUGACGGUAAUGGGUAAAGAAGCACCGGCUAACUACGUG
rnacentral:rRNA from 1 species